rnacentral:rRNA from 1 species
GACAGAGGCCUCAAGCGUUAGGCGGAAUCACCGGGCUUAAAGCGUGUGUAGGCGGACGCCUAAGUGUCUUGUGAAAUCCCCCGGCUCACCCGGGGAACUGCUGGGCAUACUGGGCGUCUUGGGCCAACUAGGGGCAACUGGAACAAGCGGUGGAGCGGUGAAAUGCGUAGAUAUCGCUUGGAACGCCGAAGGUGAAAACAGGUUGCUGGGGUUGUGCCGACGCUGAGACACGAAAGCCAGGGGAGCAAACGGG